CAACAGGGAUUGCCCCAGUAACGGCGAGUGAAGCGGCAACAGCUCAAAUUUGAAAUCUGGCUCCGGCCCGAGUUGUAAUUUGUAGAGGAUGCUUUUGGUGAGGUGCCUUCUGAGUUCCCUGGAACGGGACGCCAGAGAGGGUGAGAGCCCCGUAUAGUCGGCCACCGAUCCUCUGUAAAGCUCCUUCGACGAGUCGAGUAGUUUGGGAAUGCUGCUCAAAAUGGGAGGUAUAUCUCUUCUAAAGCUAAAUAUAGGCCAGAGACCGAUAGCGCACAAGUAGAGUGAUCGAAAGAUGAAAAGCACUUUGAAAAGAGGGUUAAAUAGCACGUGAAAUUGUUGAAAGGGAAGCGCUUGUGACCAGACUUGUGCCGGGCUGAUCAUCCAGUGUUCUCACUGGUGCACUCGACCCGGCUCAGGCCAGCGUCGGUUCUCGCGGGGGGACAAAAGCUUCGGGAACGUGGCACCUUCGGGUGUGUUAUAGCCCGCUGCUCAAUGCCCUCGCGGGGACCGAGGUUCGCGCUCUGCAAGGACGCUGGCAUAAUGGUCAUCAGCGACCCGUCUUGAAACACGGACCAAGGAGUCGAGGUUUUGCGCGAGUGUUUGGGUGUAAAACCCGCACGCGUAAUGAAAGUGAACGUAGGUGAGAGCUUCGGCGCAUCAUCGACCGAUCCUGAUGUAUUCGGAUGGAUUUGAGUAAGAGCGUAUAGCCUCGGACCCGAAAGAUGGUGAACUAUGCCUGAAUAGGGUGAAGCCAGAGGAAACUCUGGUGGAGGCUCGCAGCGGUUCUGACGUGCAAAUCGAUCGUCAAAUUUGGGCAUGGGGG
rnacentral:rRNA from 1 species